rnacentral:rRNA from 1 species
AUUUUCGGCAAUGGGCGAAAGCCUGACCGAGCAACGCCGCGUGAACGAAGAAGGUCUUCGGAUUGUAAACUCCUGUCCCAGGGGACGAUAAUGACGGUACCCUGGGAGGAAGCACCGGCUAACUACGUGCCAGCAGCCGCGGUAAAACGUAGGGUGCAAGCGUUGUCCGGAAUUACUGGGUGUAAAGGGAGCGCAGGCGGAUUGGCAAGUUGGGAGUGAAAUCUAUGGGCUCAACCCAUAAAUUGCUUUCAAAACUGUCAGUCUUGAGUGGUGUAGAGGUAGGCGGAAUUCCCGGUGUAGCGGUGGAAUGCGUAGAUAUCGGGAGGAACACCAGUGGCGAAGGCGGCCUACUGGGCACUAACUGACGCUGAGGCUCGAAAGCAUGGGUAGCAAACA